CAUGGACCUCUUUCCCUUCUUGUGAAAAUAAUUGACAUUAUUGAUAUUUCUUAGGUUUGAAUUCCUGCUCUGAAAAGGAGGAGGAGGAGGAGGAGGAGGAAGAAACUUCGCCUGAUGAAGGGAGAAGAGGAGGUGGAGGAAAACUCAGCUGCAGACAUGAAGGUUUGAAUUCCUGCUCUGAAAAGGAGGAGGAGGAGGAGGAGGAAGAAACUUCGCCUGAUGAAGGGAGAAGAGGAGGUGGAGGAAAACUCAGCUGCAGACAUGAAGGUUUGAAUUCCUGCUCUGAAAAGGAGGAGGAGGAGGAGGAGGAAGAAACUUCGCCUGAUGAAGGGAGAAGAGGAGGUGGAGGAAAACUCAGCUGCAGACAUGAAGGUAAAGGGGGGAAAAUAGAAAUAU